AGAGUUUGAUCCUGGCUCAGGACGAACGCUGGCGGCGUGCCUAACACAUGCAAGUCGAGCGAGAAACUUCGGUUUCUAGCGGCGGACGGGUGAGUAACACGUGGGUAACCUGCCUCAAAGAGGGGGAUAGCCUCCCGAAAGGGAGAUUAAUACCGCAUAAUAUUAGAUCUUCACAUGGAGAUUUAAUUAAAGGAGUAAUCCGCUUUGAGAUGGACCCGCGGCGCAUUAGCUAGUUGGUGAGGUAACGGCUCACCAAGGCGACGAUGCGUAGCCGACCUGAGAGGGUGAUCGGCCACAUUGGAACUGAGACACGGUCCAGACUCCUACGGGAGGCAGCAGUGGGGAAUAUUGCACAAUGGGCGAAAGCCUGAUGCAGCAACGCCGCGUGAGUGAUGAAGGCCUUCGGGUUGUAAAACUCUGUCUUCUGGGACGAUAAUGACGGUACCAGAGGAGGAAGCCACGGCUAACUACGUGCCAGCAGCCGCGGUAAUACGUAGGUGGCAAGCGUUGUCCGGAUUUACUGGGCGUAAAGAAUGCGUAGGCGGAUAUUUAAGUCAGAUGUGAAAUACCCGAGCUUAACUUGGGGGCUGCAUUUGAAACUGGAUAUCUAGAGUGCGGGAGAGGAGAGUGGAAUUCCUAGUGUAGCGGUGAAAUGCGUAGAGAUUAGGAAGAACACCAGUGGCGAAGGCGACUCUCUGGACCGUAACUGACGCUGAGGCAUGAAAGCGUGGGGAGCAAACAGGAUUAGAUACCCUGGUAGUCCACGCCGUAAACGAUGGGUACUAGGUGUAGGAGGUAUC
rnacentral:rRNA from 1 species